rnacentral:rRNA from 1 species
UACGUAGGGGGCAAGCGUUAUCCGGAUUUACUGGGUGUAAAGGGAGCGUAGACGGGACAGCAAGUCUGAUGUGAAAGGCGGGGGCUCAACCCCCGGACUGCAUUGGAAACUGUUGACCUGGAGUACCGGAGGGGUAAGCGGAAUUCCUAGUGUAGCGGUGAAAUGCGUAGAUAUUAGGAGGAACACCGGUGGCGAAGGCGGCUUACUGGACGGUAACUGACGUUGAGGCUCGAAAGCGUGGGGAGCAAACAGG